AUUGAACGCUGGCGGCAUGCCUUACACAUGCAAGUCGAACGGCAGCACGGAGCUUGCUCUGGUGGCGAGUGGCGAACGGGUGAGUAAUAUAUCGGAACGUACCCUGGAGUGGGGGAUAACGUAGCGAAAGUUACGCUAAUACCGCAUACGAUCUACGGAUGAAAGUGGGGGAUCGCAAGACCUCAUGCUCGUGGAGCGGCCGAUAUCUGAUUAGCUAGUUGGUAGGGUAAAAGCCUACCAAGGCAUCGAUCAGUAGCUGGUCUGAGAGGACGACCAGCCACACUGGAACUGAGACACGGUCCAGACUCCUACGGGAGGCAGCAGUGGGGAAUUUUGGACAAUGGGCGAAAGCCUGAUCCAGCAAUGCCGCGUGAGUGAAGAAGGCCUUCGGGUUGUAAAGCUCUUUUGUCAGGGAAGAAACGGUGAGGGCUAAUAUCUCUUGCUAAUGACGGUACCUGAAGAAUAAGCACCGGCUAACUACGUGCCAGCAGCCGCGGUAAUACGUAGGGUGCAAGCGUUAAUCGGAAUUACUGGGCGUAAAGCGUGCGCAGGCGGUUUUGUAAGUCUGAUGUGAAAUCCCCGGGCUCAACCUGGGAAUUGCAUUGGAGACUGCAAGGCUAGAAUCUGGCAGAGGGGGGUAGAAUUCCACGUGUAGCAGUGAAAUGCGUAGAUAUGUGGAGGAACACCGAUGGCGAAGGCAGCCCCCUGGGUCAAGAUUGACGCUCAUGCACGAAAGCGUGGGGAGCAAACAGGAUUAGAUACCCUGGUAGUCCACGCCCUAAACGAUGUCUACUAGUUGUCGGGUCUUAAUUGACUUGGUAACGCAGCUAACGCGUGAAGUAGACCGCCUGGGGAGUACGGUCGCAAGAUUAAAACUCAAAGGAAUUGACGGGGACCCGCACAAGCGGUGGAUGAUGUGGAUUAAUUCGAUGCAACGCGAAAAACCUUACCUACCCUUGACAUGGCUGGAAUCCUCGAGAGAUUGAGGAGUGCUCGAAAGAGAACCAGUACACAGGUGCUGCAUGGCUGUCGUCAGCUCGUGUCGUGAGAUGUUGGGUUAAGUCCCGCAACGAGCGCAACCCUUGUCAUUAGUUGCUACGAAAGGGCACUCUAAUGAGACUGCCGGUGACAAACCGGAGGAAGGUGGGGAUGACGUCAAGUCCUCAUGGCCCUUAUGGGUAGGGCUUCACACGUCAUACAAUGGUACAUACAGAGCGCCGCCAACCCGCGAGGGGGAGCUAAUCGCAGAAAGUGUAUCGUAGUCCGGAUUGUAGUCUGCAACUCGACUGCAUGAAGUUGGAACCGCUAGUAAUCGCGGAUCAGCAUGUCGCGGUGAAUACGUUCCCGGGUCU
rnacentral:rRNA from 1 species